CUUGAUUCCGUAUUAGUAACUAUGUUUUACAAUCUUUGUAAAAGUGUGGCUAAUAAGAAGUAGAAGAUUAAUGAGAGAAGAGAAAGUACUUCACAUUCGGAACGUGAAUUAAAUGUAGAUCUCUGCGAAAGCAGAUAGUACUUACUUCCUCAUAUAAACUACCAAAGAAAAUGGAAAAACAAAGAUUGUCUUUACAUUCCAAUUGAAUAAAGGAACUUAAUUCCGUAUGUUAAAUGGAUAAAUGUUUUGUUUGACAAAACAUUGUUCUUUAUUAAUAAAUGAUUAGAUUAUUGUAAUCUAAUUAAUUAUCUCUAUAGUAGAGAUGAUAUGGUAGUGUUAACUGUUUAGAAUAUAACGAUGCUUAAAACCCAAAAGGUUGCAAGGUAGUGACUAAUCCCAACUGAGUUGUGAUACCUCUAAAACAUAAAAUACGAGUUGGUCAUAGAUGGAUGCUUUGGAUUGUUAGAUCCGGAUCCAAUACCUUCUUGUUAAAUUGUAUAGAGGCGAAAUGUUCGAAUCUUUAUUCUUUUGGAAAGAAGAAAGAAUCACAAAGUU
rnacentral:lncRNA from 1 species